GCAGAAAACUCAGAAUACCAUUGUUCAGUCCUCUCAAAAGCUGGAAAUAAAACAUCAAAAGUGUUCAUCACAGUGGAAGGAAAAGAUAGUACCGGUCAGGCUGGAUGGGUAAAGGAGUAUGACAGCUGGAAAAGUGCAGUCAGUGAACAUCAUGCAAUGAUGCAAAGCUGGAAGACGACCUGGGAGAGUUGCAAGAAGAAAGACACCCCCUAAUGGACAGAGACAGGAGUAAGAGUUGGCUGACACAGAAGUGUCUGUAAAAUGAGGCUUCUGGUACUCUGAAAAAGGAUUCAGCAGAUACGGUAGCUGGCAGUGGGGGUUUGCUGUUCAGGAGAAUCUACUGAAAAUUUAGGCAAAACAGGAUUUCUCAUUGCACUGAUUUAUCUACUACUACCACCAAGACAACUCCUCUACCCCCUUUGAACAACCUGAUACCAGUUCUUUUUCUGCUAGUUAUUGAGGAACAAAGUGUUCCUACUGAGACUUGUGGUGCUCAAAACAUUGUAAUGCAACCCCUAAAUCUUGAGGUAACUUUGAUUGUGAUGCUCUUAUAACAUGUGAAUUUAUUAAAGCAGUGGGGAUUUAACAAGGAU
rnacentral:lncRNA from 1 species